rnacentral:rRNA from 1 species
AAACUUUCAACAACGGAUCUCUUGGUUCUGGCAUCGAUGAAGAACGCAGCGAAAUGCGAUAAGUAAUGUGAAUUGCAGAAUUCAGUGAAUCAUCGAAUCUUUGAACGCACAUUGGCGCCGCCAGCAUUCUGGCGGGCAUGCCUGUUCGAGCGUCAUUU